UGGGGAAUUUUGGACAAUGGGCGCAAGCCUGAUCCAGCCAUGCCGCGUGCGGGAAGAAGGCCUUCGGGUUGUAAACCGCUUUUGUCAGGGAAGAAAUCUUCUGAGUUAAUACCUCGGGGGGAUGACGGUACCUGAAGAAUAAGCACCGGCUAACUACGUGCCAGCAGCCGCGAUAAUACGUAGGGUGCAAGCGUUAAUCGGAAUUACUGGGCGUAAAGCGUGCGCAGGCGGUUUUGUAAGACAGAGGUGAAAUCCCCGGGCUCAACCUGGGAACUGCCUUUGUGACUGCAAGGCUUGAGUGCGGCAGAGGGGGGAUGGAAUUCCGCGUGUAGCAGUGAAAUGCGUAGAUAUGCGGAGGAACACCGAUGGCGAAGGCAAUCCCCUGGGCCUGCACUGACGCUCAUGCACGAAAGCGUGGGGAGCAAACAGGAUUAGAUACCCUGGUAGUCCACGCCCUAAAACGAUGUCAACUGGUUGUUGGGAAGGUUCCUUCUCAGUAACGUAGCUAACGCGUGAAGUUGACCGCCUGGGGAGUACGGCCGCAAGGUUGAAACUUAAAGGAAUUGACGGGGUCAUAGCUGUUUCCUG
rnacentral:rRNA from 1 species